AGCGAACGCUGGCGGCAGGCUUAACACAUGCAAGUCGAGCGGGCACUUUCGGGUGUCAGCGGCGGACGGGUGAGUAACGCGUGGGAACGUGCCCUCUGGUUCGGAAUAACUCAGGGAAACUUGAGCUAAUACCGGAUACGCCCUUUUGGGGAAAGGCUUGCUGCCGGAGGAUCGGCCCGCGUCUGAUUAGCUAGUUGGUGAGGUAACGGCCCACCAAGGCGACGAUCAGUAGCUGGUCUGAGAGGAUGAUCAGCCACACUGGGACUGAGACACGUCCCAGACUCCUACGGGAAGCAGCAGUGGGGAAUAUUGGACAAUGGGCGCAAGCCUGAUCCAGCCAUGCCGCGUGAGUGAUGAAGGCCUUAGGGUUGUAAAGCUCUUUUAUCCGGGACGAUAAUGACGGUACCGGAGGAAUAAGCCCCGGCUAACUUCGUG
rnacentral:rRNA from 1 species